ensembl:lncRNA
AUGUGAGGACACAUCGAGAAGUCGGCAGUCGGCAACCCAAAAGAGGUCCUUCCCCGGAAGCCACCCAUGUCGCACUCUGAUCUCAGACUUCCAGCCUCCAGAACCGUGAGAAACCACGUCUGUUGUUUAUCAGUCACCCAGUGUGUGGCCCUUUGUGGCAGCAGCCUGAGCGGACCAGGGCAGAGGAAGGGCUGCGCGGAUGAAGACCUGGAGAGUAACACCAGCACAUGAGAGUCAGGAGGAGCAGGAGCUGAGAUGAGACGAGGAUGCAAAAGUGAACAGAACCUUCAGAUUCCGCUCCGAGGGGACUGCAGAAACUGAUGAGAUCUCUGCCGGACACAGUGAAGCCGGAGGAGGCGUUCAAAGGACUGCAGAGGGAAGACACCCUGAGCCGUGGAGGACACAUAACCUCGCUUCUGUGACAGGAGGCAAACUUCAUAAAUGCACGGCCAGUUAGAACAAAGGCUGUCACACGGAGACUGAGCAUCCGGUCCUUGUGGGGCCAGUUGGACCAAUCUGGUUCUUGUUUAAAAGGAACAGAAAUGGACUCUGGGCAACGUAAGCCAAAGGACAUUGACCGGAAGUCUCUUAGGUUCUCUCGGACCCAAGAGGGGACAUGAGAACUAGCCUCAGCAACAGGAGAGAAUGAAGAGUGAUAGUGGGCCAGGCCAAAGGGAGCGUGGUCUCCAGGCAGGCACAGCAUCGGGACACGCAGGUGCAGCAUCGGGCUACACAGCUGCGGCCAGCACGGACCUCCCACCGUCCCCUCUGCCAUGACAUCCCUCCGAGUGUCACAUGGGAGUCUUUUCUCUUUAGGCGUAUAUGCAGCUUGCAGAGGGCUUCCCAGCGGAUGCCUGGGCUGUGUCCAGCUCUGGGAUUCAGCCCUGCGCCAGCAUGUCUGAUGAGCUGGUGGCACAGGGCCACCACCACCAUUUCUCCUGGGAUGGAAGUGCCUCAUAGAAGAAAACUUACCCUGAGGGAAGAGGCAGCUAGGUGGUGCUGGCAAGAUUCAGACCUGCUGCAUGGACGGAUUCCCCCUGGGAAGGUGAGACCAGUCUUGAACUGGGAGGGGCAUCCUGUUUCUCUCUCUACUGGUGUUUGGAACCUGUGGGAGAGAUCAAUCUGAGAAGGAGAGAACGGAGCCAACACAUCAAGAGAAGCAGAGGUGAGAAAUGGAGUGAGGAGGGUUGGGAGGACAGUCAAACUCCUGGCUCUGGUCAUUUCUGUAAUCUAGGUACACCACUCGACUUCCAUGGUUUGGUCACGUGAACCAGUGAACUCAUCUUUUCAGCUAGCUAUUUCAAGUUAGAAUUUGAAAGUCCCAACCAGGCUUUGGUACCAGGUGAUGCCAAUGCAUUGACGGUGGGUCUGGCUGGAGAUGUUGGAAGCCCGUGGCAGGUAAGGGGGACUGAUGAGAGGGGCAGUGCCCAAAGAAGGUGGUGUUAUCCGGGGAGAAAGGGAGAGACACCCAGGACAGAAGGCAGUGCUGGGGAAACAAGCAGCACCCGGCAGAAGGAGCAGAAAGUUGAGGGUGGCUAGAAGUGGGGAUGUGUCGUAC